rnacentral:rRNA from 1 species
AUUGAACGCUGGCGGCAUGCCUUACACAUGCAAGUCGAACGGCAGCGGACCUUCGGGUGCCGGCGAGUGGCGAACGGGUGAGUAAUGCAUCGGAACGUACCUUUCAGUGGGGGAUAACGUAGCGAAAGUUACGCUAAUACCGCAUAUUCUGUGAGCAGGAAAGCAGGGGAUCGCAAGACCUUGCGCUGAUUGAGCGGCCGAUGUCAGAUUAGCGAGUUGGUGAGGUAAAGGCUCACCAAGGCGACGAUCUGUAGCGGGUCUGAGAGGAUGAUCCGCCACACUGGAACUGAGACACGGUCCAGACUCCUACGGGAGGCAGCAGGGGGGUAUGUUGGACAAUGGGGGCAACCCUGAUCCAGCCAGGGCGCGUGAGUGAAGAAGGCCUUCGGGUUGUAAAGCUCGUUCUGCCGGGAAGAAAUCGCACGAGCUAAUACCCUGUGUGGAUGACGGUACCGGAAUAAGAAGCACCGGCUAACUACGUGCCAGCAGCCGCCGUAAUAC